UCUCAUCACACCUGAUUUCUCACCAUCAUGGCAAAUUUUCUUCUUAUCUCCUGUAAGUUUAAUUUGUUGUCUUGCCCUGAAGCCUGCCCAGCAAAUGUGUCCCUCAUGUAUGGGGAAGUGCUGUGUGUCUGUAGGUAUUGCUCUGGUUGAAACUAUUUAACAUCGAAGGUCUUUUGCAAAACAGUACUGAAUUGCUGGCGGUGUUUUCCCUAAAUAGGGAUUUCGAUAGCUUGUUCUACUUAAUCAAAUUAGCUAUCUUUGAUUUAAUCUGGUGUUUAAGCCAAAUUCCCAAGACAAAGUGGUUUUAAUAGUCUGUUCAGUUUGCAAUCUCUGUUUUCCAAGAAAAUUGGCUUUUAUUUGUUUGUUUGUUUCUGACAAAUGUACACGAAGAACUGGUGUAGGCUGGCUACCUAUAGGGAAAUAGCUAAUUUGACAUUCAGUUUCUUCCUUUGUGAGCUAGCCCAUUUCCCAUGCCUUUCCCUCAGUCUGCCAGAAGUGUUUGUCAGCUGGUCUGGCACCUCUGCCUCUCUGGCUAUAGCCUGCAUUUUUUUUUCUUCUUCCCUGAUUCAUAUUUGUUUCUCAUCCCAUCUUGCAACUCCAGCUUUUUCUCCUUAUUUGGAAAAAAAAAGGUCUUGUGAAUUAAAGUGGGUCAGUAAAAGCUACAAACUCCUCUUUUUAAAACUCAUUCUGUGUCUGUUGGGGGCCUUUGUGCCAGCUGAGACCACUGCAGAUCCCAGUCACCACACCCUAUGGAAAAGGUCACUUCAGGAGUGCAGGACUUACUGGAGCAAACAGGAAACCUUGAGCUUUUCUCUUCUUUCUCCAUUAUUCACUUGGGGUUUUAGCCUGGAGCAGAGAGGCUGUGCACCUCUUAACAACAUCAGGACUGGGGAAGGUGACCCUCAGCUCACACUGUGCUCACCCAAAGGUCCCUCUGGUGCUCCAGCUCUAGGCAGAAAAUCCAUCAGUGCUCUCAGUGAACUAAAGGACUUUGGUGGGAGUGCUGCAUUAGCUGUGGACCUCUGAAACAGUGUUUAAGGGCCAAAGUCAGCUUGGGGCUUCUGUGAUUGUUGAGAGGCUUUGUUAAAAGUGAGCUCCUGGAUAGUUUAUUUAUCAAGACCUGGAACCUCAGUCACAGUAUGAACAUGGAAAUAGGAGAAAUAGGAAGUUUGAGCUGGUGGUUUGACUGAUAUCCUAUAAUUCUAUUUUAUUUCUCCCUGAAUGUUGGGGAAAAUGAUGGGGUAGAUGAAAAGCUUUGCUUUCUGCAUAAUUGAGAAAAUUCCUUGUUAUGCCAGAUUAUCAAAGCUAGUUUUGGGUCCUUCCAUUUGUACUGCUACUGCUCCUUACUACCCUCCACUGACCUGAAAUCAAACCUGAGUAAAUCCUCCAGAUAAAUUUUACCCUGUUUAGACUGACUUACCCUACAGAGAAAUUCCAUCUCUACUCAGGGUGUUCCUCUCCAGCCCUGCAAAGCUGGUCCUGGGAGAGACAAACUCUGUCUCUGCAGCCAACUCAUUCUCCUACCUUUUAUUUGCCUUUUUUUUAUUACUAUACCAUAAAUACUACAGCCUCCUGGACACUGCUAUUUGUACCAAAAAAAUAAUACAAACAGAACACUAACAGGCAGGCAAGUGUCUGGCAGGGGGGUCUGUAACUUCUCCCUUCAUUAUUACUGCUCUAAGCAAUUUAAAUGUGAAUAAACCAGCUCAAAGUGGAAGGAAGCGCUGGAUUCAGUGUGACAUGGUUAGAAAAGAGUAGGUGUUGAUAUGCCCAGAGGUCAUCUGGGGCUUUAACAUCCCUUGUCAAGGCCCGUGGCAGCCAAACUGGUAUUUUCUUACUCUUCAGGAGUGCUGGGGUGUUUGCCACAUCUCACUCCACUUUCAGGAUCAUUAUCAGUGAGGCUGCUGAAUUGCCAUCUCUGCUGCAGGGACUGGAAGAUGUCCACAGAAAUCUGGGCAUGGUGACACUGAGGGGAUGGAGUUGUUGUUAAUUGGCGGAUUUUCUACGAGUGGGCUGUACCAGUGGAGACUGGGCCUGCUCUUGCUGCUCAGCAGCACAGCCACAGUGUCAAUGUCCCAGGAGUGUCUAUGCCUUCAGUGGCUUUUCCUGUUGUCCUGAGUCUAGCCUGCCUCUUCUCUCCCUCCCAGAAAAUGCUGUAGUGACAACAGUUGUUGGCUGGCUCAGCUGGAAGUUUACAGUAUUUAAAUUACAGUUCCAGGUCUGAGUUCCACACUCAGACCAGUGAGGUGGGAUCAGCUACCAAAGGAGGAGAUAAUUAAAGGCCAUUACAGCAAGCUGGUCCCAAGGGAGCCAUAAUGGUCCUGGUGAAGCUGCUGCAAGUGGGCACUCAAGUCACAUCCUCGGCUGCCUCGCUGAACUCAGGGGUAGUGUUCUUACGGGUUGGUUUGAACUGAAAUGUGUGUGCACAGCUGUGCUCAUUCAAAAAGGAAUUCACAAAGCUCUGUAGAGGGAAUUAACCUUGCUGAGGCCCGCCAAGAAAAUGUAGAGAUUUUUUAUUUUGAAUGAAAAUAUGUAAAUCAAAUGAAUACCUUACUCAGACUCACUUAAAAACUGCUUUCAGAAGUGUCUGUAGAGAGAGAGGCCACUGUCACUGUCUUCAUACAAUCCCAGAUGGCAUGAUACAAAUUUUACUCUUUUCUAGGAUCUGUUUUGUACAGCCUACUUUCCAUCUUGAUUUUCUUCCCUUUUGGCACUGCAGAUGAAUAUGUUUCAUUUUCCCAUGGCUUCUACUCCUCAGUGCUGCACCGAGUUGGCUGCCAGCUACACCAGAUCUCUGCUGUUUGAAAUCCCCCUCCUUGUCCAGAUCAGCCUGAGACUUCACUUUUGCUUAAUUAAAGCAAAAGAGGAGCAAAAAAUCCCCACCCAGAAGAACACUGGAAGAGCUCACACAUGGUAGUGGCAACAUGACAGUUGUCACUCAGUCCUGAAUCUGGGCUUCCACAUGCCACAAACUGGUGGAUUAACUGCAGACAGAAGUACAUUCUUCAGCUGCUGGAGGUCCAUGAGUAGUGCUAAGAAAAAGGCUCACUCAUCGACCCAGUUUGCAGUUUCCCACUCCAUCACCUCAUAAAGAGCUGGAGACAAGCAGGCCAGGAGCAAACGCUGCUUUGUGUGCUCUGUGCUCCACAUGUCGCAGCACGGCAGGACACUGCAAUGGUGUGCAUAUUUCCUGUGUAAAAACCAUUCGCCCAUUGGAAGACUUUAAGCAAACAACAACAAAACACUUUGCAAAAGCAAGGGGAGGGGCAGAUGCCACGAUAACACAGGAUUGCUCCUGAUGCAGGGACAGACAGAGGAGCUGCUGUGAGCCAUGGCCAGUGCAUCACUUCUGCCUUCACUGGGGCAGCUGAGGAGCUGCAGAGGGACUGGGACAGCCAGAGCCCAGCCCUGAUUAGCAGCUGAAGGGGCUCUUGAAAGCCUCCAUUUUAGGGCCCUGUAGUUCCCUUUCCUGUAGAAGUAUAAAGAUUAUAACAGCAUAAUAUAAAAAUAUAUCAUUCUAUCAUUUACACUGAACCUGUUCACCAACAAUAGCUGGGGAGGUUGAAGAGGUGAGGGUGUGAGGUGGGAGGUGGGGUGCUGCAGUGAGCCUGCAGGCAGUGGGUGUUUCCCUGCCCAGGCAUCCCCUCCCAGUGCCUGUGAGGACUCUUGCCUAUUUUGGCCAAAAUUAGAUUGGAUGCUUUCUUCCACUUCUUCCAUCUCGCCGUUCUUAAAGUUUUGAAGUGUUUCAAAACAUUAGUGUUAAAAUAAUUUCUGUUGAACUGAGUACAACCAAAUAAACUGCAUGUUAUUUGGGCUGAUUUAUAAUUAGCAGUUCUAAGGAGGAGACUAAUUUAACUGUGUCAUCCUAUUUGUUGUAACUUCUUUGCUCUUUGGUGCUGUUUUCCACCAGCCUAAGAGCACAGGAGGGAAUGCCCUGCUGUGUCUCAGCUAACAGGUCAGCCCAACCUGCUUUGACUCACCCACUUAGGAAAUUGAGUCGAAUACCAGGUGUGCAAAGUAAAUCUGAUAUGAAGGAUUAUUUGUUUUGCUAUAGUAUUUAGUGGUAAGAUUAUCUUGGGGAAGAGAAAGUGAAUGUUCCACGCCAAAAAAAAGAGAACAGCUUUGGGUUCCCAGUCAGUUUAAACCAUUACACUUCCCAACUGACCUGUCUAAUCUUUUCUACAGAUAAUUAUUUUGCAGCACCUGACGGUAAGUCCUGUUAAUCAGCAAUUUUUAUGUACUGUCAUGGAUAGCUCUGUCUCUGCUGUGACCAGCUCUUGUCCCUAGGAGGAUUCUUGCAGAAAAAUCCUGAUCGGGGCAUGCACUUAAAAAAAUCACCAUUUUAAGCACUUUACAUUUUUUUUUCCAUUUCAGAAGAAACUGUCCACAGAUAGGAAUCCAACCAAAUAAAUCCCCGGGUAGAUUGCCUUUGAAUUUGAGCUCUCUGCCUUUCUAAAAGCAAGCCUUACCUUGUGCAUGUGUUACAUCUUCCAAAUUAAUGAAUUUAAACCCCCAGUUCUGUUUUCCAGUGGCAAUGGGGGAUCAGACCAGGCAGUUGAGGAGAAUGGGAAAUGCAGGCCUGGAGGAAAUCAGGGAAACAAGUACCUGACAAUUGCAGCAGUGAUAAAUAAGGCAGAUGGAUAGGAAAGAGCCAUAAAAUAGGAGAAGAGGGGAUAAGAGAGAGAGACAUUCCUUUCCUGAGUGGAAAGAGUCUUCACUGUGUUACUAUUUCUGACAGAGGGCAGGGGAUGGGGAGGACAAAUCCUCCCGUGUCAAGAAAAAGGGGUAAAUGCAGCAUGUCUUCUUCACAAGAUGGAUAUUUUAUGAAGACUAAGAAGAUAAAUGCCUGGUAUGCUUGAGGGUCAGGGUAAUUCUAGAGAAUAGAAGAGUUUUCUUUCCUACUUGUUUUCCCAUGCAGCCCAGAGUUAUUUAGCUAAGCUUUUAAUACACAAGUGGGAAUUUUGCUGAAUGAUUCUCCAGUAAAAUUUUUGUGCAAUUUUUUUCCUCCUGUUUCUUCCCCCCCCCGUCCUUUUUGUUUUCUUUUGUUUGAACUACCCAUAGGCAGUGGUUCAAAAGCAGACUUUUAAAGAAUGGUUUGUUGGUGUGGGUUGGGGUUGAUCUGGUCAAAGAUGUGGUUUUUUUGUUUUUUUUUCCUAGCCUAGUUACCAGGCCAGAGGACAGAGUACAGUAAGAGCAUGGAGCAGUAGCUGAUUCCAGGGCCAUUAGAAUUCUGGGUGGCAUUAGGAUUGCCUUUUUUUUUUCCCAUGAGAAAAUGUAAUGCAAGUUAAGCAAAAUCUGAAUACAGUCUUUGUUUUGUCCAAAACCUGAGGCAAUUAGGAAAAGAACAGAGAUUGUCAGGCAUUUAAACCCUCCAGCUCUCUCAGCAUGGAGUGUGACAAGGCUGAACUGAACGCCAGCCUCUCUUCCCUAAGAUCAGGUAAGAACCACAGGAGUAUCCUCAGAGGAGCUGCAGCAGCUGUAGACCUUGGACUGGAUGAAAAGCAAACAUCAAAAAGCAGAUCCAAGGAAGCCCUGAGUCCAAAACUUUUAAGUUGUUUUUGGUUCACCCCCUCAGCUAACAGAUGAUAAUAAUUGCUUUUCACUUACCUCUCUCAGCUGCUGCACUUACAACACUGAUACAUCUGCAGAAGGUGCAGUAUUGCAUCUUUGGGGAUUUUUGGGCUUCCAAGCACUUUUACAGCUUAUGUCUGUGCCCCUAGAUGUGCAGAAGGAAAUCAGCUGCAAGGGGCUGCCAUGUGCUGGAAAUGCCAGCACUGUGCUCCCCUGCCUCCUCCAGCUGUUCCUGAUGUCCCCACUGCCCAGAGUCCCCUCGCUGCAGAAAGGCAACUAAAAGAUUUCUUCUCUAGGAAAAGAAAGCAUCUGGGCCAUAAAUGCCACAAGCCCUCCUCAGUGACACUCUGUGUAUCAGGAAAUAUCAUCUGGCACUCAGAUAUUUUUCAGGAAUUGCUUCUACAGCACUUGCCAGCACCUUGAGUAAACUCCAAUGCUGUCAAUUUGUUGUUGAAAGCCACAGGAGAUGUAAUUUCUGGCAUUCUUUAGCUCUUCCCUGCAGAUCCCACAGCUUUUCUCAUUGUAAUAAUGAGAAGGCUGAGCCCACAGGGCUCGUUUCUAGUAACCCAUCAAUACAAUAGGCAUUUUAUCACCUAAAGGAUUUAGAGUGUCUUCUGCCUGAGUCCAUCUGUUUUGCCAGUUUAAAAACCGUGUAUGAAGAUAACUUUGAGGUAGUUCUUGCCCAUAAAAAAUUCAUUGGUCCUCCUUGAGUAAGCAACACAUUCUCCAAGGUUUGAAGUCUAUUUAAAGGUAUAUUUAAAUUGGGGAUUUCAUUAGACUGAGGGUUUAACAUGGAGAGUAGCUGCACAAACCUUCCCAGAGGAAGCUUCCUUAUGUAAAUUUUCACAGCAUUUUGUCAAAGUGUAUAUAUUUUUUUGAUCAAGGAUUUUUGUCUUUUUGUAGUCCCAAAAUAUCAAAAAAGUAUGAUGAAUUUUGAUAAAAUGCAAGUGUUAUUUGCUGGAAUAUUAUGGGUCUGUUUUGGUAUUACAGCCAGAAAGAUAUUCUCACUCUUGCACUGGUGCUGUGUCCCCUUAAUCUUAAUUGUUGAACAUCCUUAGGGAAAAGAUUUAUUUAAUAAAGCUGAAACUCUGAUAAAGGAAUACAACUACUGUUGUAUCUGACAACAUAAACCACCACCAGGUUGGUCAAAACUUUUCUUUUUUCUCUUACAACAGAGGGACAACAAAUGGCCAAGCUGAUACUUGCUGCUGAAUUUCUUCACGUUAAACUCAGCUACCAGAUGUUGCUGGAACCAAGGUCAAUAUGCAAAAAGCACGUUUGCAAGAUGGAGUAAAUAUCUGGUUUUCAAUUCCUGUUUAUUGAUUAUAUUUUUUAAAAAUUUUGUCGGGGCACUCCAUUGCAAGCCGGGCAGUGCUGGGAGUCAUGAAGAUCCCUGACUUGGCACAAAGUGACCUCCCAAACACGCCACGUGCUGCUGUGCAGAUUUGCAGACCUCCAGGUGAACCCCAAGGACACUCAGGGUCCUCAUAGGAUGCUCCUUGAAGUUUAACUUCACAGCUGUUCCAGCUCAGACACAACUGCUCAGAAGGUGUGAAAUGAUGCCAUUUUUUCCCAGCUGGAUUGGAAACCAUGCAACACUGAAGACCAGACUAUGU